rnacentral:rRNA from 1 species
GAUAAACGCUAGCGGCAGGCUUAAUACAUGCAAGUCGAACGGGAUUGAGAAGCUUGCUUUUCAUGAGAGUGGCGCACGGGUGCGUAACACGUAUGCAACCUGCCUUGUCCAGGGGGAUAGCCCGUUGAAAGACGGAUUAAGACCGCAUAACAUCAUUGAAUGGCAUCGUUUAAUGAUCAAAUAUUUAUAGGGACAAGAUGGGCAUGCGUCUGAUUAGCUAGUUGGCGGGGUAAUGGCCCACCAAGGCGACGAUCAGUAGGGGAUCUGAGAGGAUGACACCCCACACUGGUACUGGGACACGGACCAGACUCCUACGGGAGGCAGCAGUAAGGAAUAUUGGUCAAUGGGCGCAAGCCUGAACCAGCCAUGCCGCGUGCAGGAAGACGGCCCUACGGGUUGUAAACUGCUUUUAUACGGGAAUAACCCCGGUUUCGUGAAACCGGCUGAAUGUACCGUAAGAAUAAGGAUCGGCUAACUCCGUGCCAGCAGCCGCCGCCG